UACAGAGGUCUCAAGCGUUGUUCGGAUUCAUUGGGCGUAAAGGGUGCGUAGGUGGCGAGGUUAGUCAGGUGUGAAAUCUCGGGGCUCAACCCCGAAACUGCACUUGAUACUGCCUUGCUAGAGUACUGGAGAGGAGAUUGGAAUUUACGGUGUAGCAGUGAAAUGCGUAGAUAUCGGGAAGAACACCCGUGGCGAAGGCGGCACUCUGGGACGGUACUGGACGCUGAGACGCGAAAGCGUGGGGAGCGAACGAGG
rnacentral:rRNA from 1 species